CUCGUGUCGUGAGAUUGUUGGGUUAAGUCCCGCAACGAGCGCAACCCUCGUCCUUAGUUGCUAACAGUUCGGCUGAGCACUCUAGGGAGACUGCCCUUCGCAAGGAGGAGGAAGGUGAGGACGACGUCAAGUCAUCAUGGCCCUUACGGCCAGGGCUACACACGUGCUACAAUGGGGCGUACAGAGAGCUGCGAUACCGCGAGGUGGAGCCAAUCUCUUAAAGCGUCUCUCAGUUCGGAUUGUUCUCUGCAACUCGAGAACAUGAAGCUGGAAUCACUAGUAAUCGCAGAUCAGCUAUGCUGCGGUGAAUACGUUCCCGGGUCCU
rnacentral:rRNA from 1 species